UUUAUGGAGAGUUUGAUCCUGGCUCAGGAUGAACGCUGGCGGCGUGCCUAAUACAUGCAAGUCGAGCGAACGGAUGAGAAGCUUGCUUCUCUGAUGUUAGCGGCGGACGGGUGAGUAACACGUGGAUAACCUACCUAUAAGACUGGGAUAACUUCGGGAAACCGGAGCUAAUACCGGAUAAUAUUUUGAACCGCAUGGUUCAAAAGUGAAAGACGGUCUUGCUGUCACUUAUAGAUGGAUCCGCGCUGCAUUAGCUGGUUGGUAAGGUAACGGCUUA
rnacentral:rRNA from 1 species